GUGCCCGCUUCAGUAGCACAUGUACUAAGAUUGGAACGAUACAGAGAAGAUUGGCACGGCCCUGUGUAAGGAUGACACGCAAAUUUGUGAGGGUUCCACAUUUUCU